rnacentral:rRNA from 1 species
GUGCACCAGGCGAGAAAACUUCACAAUGUGCGAAAGCACGAUGAGGGAAUCCCAAGUGCUUGCACGUAAGUGUAAGCUGUUUCUCUGUCUAAAACGCAGAGAGAGUAAGGGCUGGGUAAGACGGGUGCCAGCCGCCGCGGUAAUACCUGCAGCUCGAGUGGUGACCGUUAUUAUUGGGCCUAAAACGUCCGUAGCCGGUUUAAUAAAUGCCUGGGUAAAUCGGACCGCUUAACGGUUCGAAUUCCGGGUAGACUGUUAAACUUGAGACCGGGAGAAGUUAGAGGUACUCCUGGGGUAGAGGUGAAAUUCUGUAAUCCUAGGGGGACCACCAGUGGCGAAGGCGUCUAACUAGAACGGGUCUGACGGUGAGGGACGAAGCCCUGGGGCGCAAACGGGGAUUAGAUACCCGUGUAGU